AGAGGUCCCAUGGCUGCGUGGAGGUGCAUGGAAGGGGCAGGAGGGAAGUGGUUCCCAGGAAGAGGCACGGCUCCAGGAGAAACUGCUCCAUGGAAAGUCAAGCUGGUUUGCACGAAGAUGGUGGUGGAACAGAGGAGAGAAGGGAGGGCGUUUGAAGUGAGCCAGAAGCCUCCCUAUGUCAGCAAAUCCACUGGUGCCGUGACUUCCCACUGAGCCUCCUGACUUCCUGUUCUGCACUGGCUUGUCUGCUUCCCGGACCUGCUGCACAACUUGCUCUGAGUCCUAUACUUGACGUCCUGCUUUUAGAUCCCAUGCCUUCCAUGCCAUUGGUUUACAAGUUUAUUUUCCUGGGGUACUUCCUUCAGGAACAUUCAAGGAGAGAGCAAAGAAGGUAAACUUUUGCAUGCUUGCAUGUCUCUAAGUGUCUUUCAGUUGACUGAAAGUGUGGCAGAAUGUAGACUACUAAGGUUGAAAACUAUUUCUCAUUGAAUAUGGGGAUCAUUUUUCUUCAGUUUCCUAGAGCUGCUGCUGAAAGUCAGCUGUCAUUCUGACCUCAGUAUCCUUAUGCAUGACCUAUCUGCUUCUCUCUGCAAAGCACUGUCUAACAGACACAGAACAGAAACCGUCUAUGUCAUCUAAAAUUUUCCAGGAGCUACCUUAAAAUAAAAAGAAACAAGUGGAAGUAGUUGUAAUAAUAUGUUAUAUUUAGCCCAAUAUUUAAAAAAUUUUAAAUAUCAUUUUGGCCGGGCAUGGUGGCUCAGGCCUGUAAUCCCAGCACUUUGGGAGGCCGAGGCAGGUGGAUCACAAGGUCAGGAGUUCAAGACCAGCCUGACUAAUAUGGUGAAACCCCAUCUCUACUAAAAAUACAAAAAUUAGCCGGGCAUAGUGGCGCACGCCUGCAGUCCCAGCUACUCAGGAGGCUGAGGCAGGAGAAUCACUUGAACCGCGGAGGUGGAGGUUGCAGUGAGCCAAGAUUGCGCUACUGCACUCCAGCCUGGGCCACAGAGUGAGACUUCAUCUCCAAAUACAUAUAUAAUCAUUUCAACAUAUUUUCAGAAUAAAAACUAUUAAUGAGACAUUUUACUAUUUUGUUUUCUACUAAGCCCAACAAUAUUCAGUGUCUACUUUACACUUACAGCACAUCUCCAUUCAGAGUGGCCGCAUCUCCAGUGCUGAACAGUCAGCCAUGGCUAAUGACCACCGUAUUGAACAGCAUUAAUUUACAAGCUUUCAGGAUUUUCUCUUGAUCCCAAAUAUAUGAAAAUUUCAGGCCAAUAUAUGUCUAGAUGUGGGUCCUCUUCAUUGUCAUGCUGGGCAUCUAUCGAGCCCUUCCAAUCCAGAGACUCAUACACUGCACCUCUGACAGGUUUUCUUGAAGACAAAGAACAAACAAUAGUGUUAGUAGUACUAUUAUCAUGCCC
rnacentral:lncRNA from 1 species